UACGGGGGGGGGUAAGCGUUGUUCGGAAUUACUGGGCGUAAAGGGCUCGUAGGCGGCCAACUAAGUCAGACGUGAAAUCCCUCAGCUUAACUGGGGAACUGCGUCUGAUACUGGAUGGCUUGGAUCCGGGAGAGGGAUGCGGAAUUCCAGGUGUAGCGGUGAAAUGCGUAGAUAUCUGGAGGAAUACCGGUGGCGAAGGCGGCAUCCUGGACCGGCAUUGACGCUGAGGCGCGAAAGCCAGGGGAGCAAACGGG
rnacentral:rRNA from 1 species